rnacentral:tRNA from 1 species
GCCCCUGUAGCUUAACAUUUAGAGCAUUGGUCAAUUCCAAAGGUGUCGGUUGAAAUCCUUCCGCGGGCA